ensembl:misc_RNA Y_RNA Y RNA
AUCAGGUCCAAAGGUAUUGAGUUAUCUCAAUUGACUACUCACAGUUACAGAUCUAACUCCUUGUUCCACUCCUUCCCCACUUCUUAUACUAUACUUCACUUGGUCUUU